AUUGAACGCUGGCGGCAGGCCUAACACAUGCAAGUCGAGCGGAUGAAGGGAGCUUGCUCCUGGAUUCAGCGGCGGACGGGUGAGUAAUGCCUAGGAAUCUGCCUGGUAGUGGGGGAUAACGUCCGGAAACGGGCGCUAAUACCGCAUACGUCCUGAGGGAGAAAGUGGGGGAUCUUCGGACCUCACGCUAUCAGAUGAGCCUAGGUCGGAUUAGCUAGUUGGUGGGGUAAGGCCUACCAAGGCGACGAUCCGUAACUGGUCUGAGAGGAUGAUCAGUCACACUGGAACUGAGACAAGGUCCAGACUCCUACGGGAGGCAGCAGUGGGGAAUUUUGGACAAUGGGCGAAAGCCUGAUCCAGCCAUGCCGCGUGUGUGAAGAAGGUCUUCGGAUUGUAAAGCACUUUAAGUUGGGAGGAAGGGCAGUAAGGUAAUACCUUGCUGUUUUGACGUUACCAACAGAAUAAGCACCGGCUAACUUCGUG
rnacentral:rRNA from 1 species